UGGUGGAUAUAUGGUGGCGGCGGCUAUGGCGGUGGUGGAUAUGGUGGAUAUGGAAAGUAAAAUGGACAUCGCUAGACGACGCAGCAAAACUACGAAAGAUUCACAAACUGUAAGAUGCUGUGAUGCCCAAUGUGUAUAAUAAACGUUUUCUAAACA